rnacentral:rRNA from 1 species
GGGGGGGGGGGGGGGGGGGGGGGGGGGGGGGGGGGCGGGCGGGGGGGGGCGGCGGUGGUGGGGUGCGCGAGUGGGGGGCGGGUGAGUGACACGUGAGUAUCCUGCCCUUGACUUUGGGGUAACUUCAGGAGACUGGGGCUAAUACCGGAUAUGAUCUCCUGCUGCAUGUUGGGGGUUGGAAAGUUUCGGCGGUUGUGGAUGGCCUCGCUGCUUAUCAGCUUGUUUGUGGGGUAGUGGCUUACCAAGGCUUUGACGGCUAGGCGGCCUGUGAGGGUGACCGGCGACAUGGGGACUGAGGUACGGCGCAGAAGCGUAAGGGAGGCAGCAGGGGGGAAUAUUGCAGAAUGGGCGGAAGUCUGAUGCAGAAACGCCGCGUGCGGGAUGACGGCCUUCGGGUUGUAAACCGCUGUCGACUGUGACGAAGAGUGAGUGACGGUAAUGGGUAAAGAAGCACCGGCUAACUACGUG